UGGGGAAUAUUGGACAAUGGGCGAAAGCCUGAUCCAGCCAUGCCGCGUGUGUGAAGAAGGUCUUCGGAUUGUAAAGCACUUUAAGUUGGGAGGAAGGGCAGUAAGCGAAUACCUUGCUGUUUUUACGUUACCGACAGAAUAAGCACCGGCUAACUCUGUGCCAGCAGCCGCGGUAAUACAGAGGGUGCAAGCGUUAAUCGGAAUUACUGGGCGUAAAGCGCGCGUAGGUGGUUCGUUAAGUUGAAUGUGAAAGCCCCGGGCUCAACCUGGGAACUGCAUCCAAAACUGGCGAGCUAGAGUAGGGCAGAGGGUGGUGGAAUUUCCUGUGUAGCGGAGAAAUGCGUAGAUAUAGGAAGGAACACCAGUGGCGAAGGCGACCACCUGGGCUCAUACUGACACUGAGGUGCGAAAGCGUGGGGAGCAAACAGG
rnacentral:rRNA from 1 species